AUUGAACGCUGGCGGCAGGCCUAACACAUGCAAGUCGAGCGGAUGAAGGGAGCUUGCUCCUGGAUUCAGCGGCGGACGGGUGAGUAAUGCCUAGGAAUCUGCCUGGUAGUGGGGAAAACGUUCGGAAAAGGGGUCUUAUACCGGCUACCGUCUGGGGGGGAAAAGUGGGGAUCUUCCGGACUCAAGGCUUCAGGUGAGGCUAGGUCGGAUUAGCUAGUUGGUGGGGUAAAGGCCUACCAAGGCGACGAUCCGUAACUGGUCUGAGAGGAUGAUCAGUCACACUGGAACUGAGACACGGUCCAGACUCCUACGGGAGGCAGCAGUGGGGAAUAUUGGACAAUGGGCGAAAGCCUGAUCCAGCCAUGCCGCGUGUGUGAAGAAGGUCUUCGGAUUGUAAAGCACUUUAAGUUGGGAGGAAGGGCAGUAAGUUAAUACCUUGCUGUUUUGACGUUACCAACAGAAUAAGCACCGGCUAACUUCGUG
rnacentral:rRNA from 1 species